rnacentral:rRNA from 1 species
UACGGAGGAUCCAAGCGUUAUCCGGAUUUAUUGGGUUUAAAGGGUGCGUAGGCGGCUUGGUAAGUUAGAGGUGAAAUCCCGUGGCUCAACCACGGAACUGCCUCUAAUACUGCCGGUGCUAGAGAUUAGAUGCUGUGGGCGGAAUGUGUGGUGUAGCGGCGAAAUGCUUAGAGAUCACACAGAACACCGAUUGCGAAGGCAGCUCACAAAACUAAAUCUGACGCUGAGGCACGAAAGCGUGGGGAGCAAA